rnacentral:tRNA from 2 species
GGAGGUAUGGCUGAGUGGCUUAAGGCAUUGGUUUGCUAAAUCGACAUACAACAAGAUUGUAUCAUGGGCCAUUUCCUCCG